UACGAGGGGUGCGAGCGUUGCUCGGAAUCAUUGGGCGUAAAGCGAGUGUAGGUGGUCAUAUAAGUCAGUGGUGAAACCCCUGGGCUCAACCCAGGAAGUGCCUUUGAUACUGUAUGACUUGAGUGUGGGAGAGGGUGCUAGAAUUCCUGGUGUAGUGGUGAAAUACGUAGAGAUCAGGAGGAACAUCGGUUGCGGAGGCGGGUGCCUGGCCCAACACUGACACUCAGACUCGAAAGCGUGGGGAUCAAACAGG
rnacentral:rRNA from 1 species